rnacentral:tRNA from 1 species
ACUUUUAAAGAAUAGUCAUCCAUUGGUUUUAGGAACCAAAAAUUUUGGUGCAAUUCCAAGCAAAAGUA